AACGAACGCUGGCGGCAUGCCUAACACAUGCAAGUCGAACGCGUGGUUUCGGCCACGAGUGGCGCACGGGUGAGUAGCGCGUGGGAACCUGCCCUUUGGUUCGGGAUAACCGCGGGAAACUGCGGCUAAUACCGGAUACUCCCUUAGGGGGAAAGAUUUAUCGCCGAAGGAGGGGCCCGCGUCCGAUUAGGUAGUUGGUGAGGUAACGGCUCACCAAGCCUGUGAUCGGUAGCUGGUCUGAGAGGAUGAUCAGCCACACUGGGACUGAGA
rnacentral:rRNA from 1 species